rnacentral:rRNA from 1 species
ACUCAAAUGAAUUGACGGGGGCCCGCACAAGCGGCGGAGCAUGUUGCUUAAUUCGACGCAACGCGAAGAACCUUACCAAGGUUUGACAUGCGCGGAAAUCCCCCAGAGAUGGGGGGUCCUUCGGGGUCGCGCACAGGUGGUGCAUGGCUGUCGUCAGCUCGUGUCGUGAGAUGUUGGGUUAAGUCCCGCAACGAGCGCAACCCUCGUCCCAUGUUGCCAGCGGGUUAUGCCGGGGACUCAUGGGAGACUGCCGGGGUCAACUCGGAGGAAGGUGGGGAUGACGUCAAGUCAUCAUGCCCCUGAUGUCUUGGGCUGCAAACAUGCUACAAUGGCCGGUACAGAGGGCUGCGAGCCCGCGAGGGUGAGCGAAUCCCGGAAAGCCGGUCUCAGUUCGGAUCGGGGUCUGCAACUCGACCCCGUGAAGUCGGAGUCGCUAGUAAUCGCGGAUCAGCAACGCCGCGGUGAAUACGUUCCCGGGCCUUGCACACACCGCCCGU